CCAUCCGGCAGCUAUACAUGCAAGUUGACGGUAACAGGUCCAGCAAUGGAUGCUGACGAGUGGCGCACGGGUGAGUAACGCGUAUGCAACCUACCUUUGACUGGAGCAUAGCCCCGAGAAAUCGGGAUUAAUUCUCCAUAACAUCCAGGGAUCGCAUGGUUUCUGGAUCAAAGUUCCGACGGUCAAAGAUGGGCAUGCGUGACAUUAGCUAGUUGGUGAGGUAACGGCUCACCAAGGCGACGAUGUCUAGGGGUCCUGAGAGGGUGAUCCCCCACACUGGUACUGAGACACGGACCAGACUCCUACGGGAGGCAGCAGUAAGGAAUAUUGGGCAAUGGACGCAAGUCUGACCCAGCCACGCCGCGUGCAGGAUGAAUGUCCUAUGGAUUGUAAACUGCUUUUGUACGGGAAAAAACUUCCGAACGUGUUCGGAACUGAUGGUACCGUGCGAAUAAGCAUCGGCUAACUCCGUGCCAGCAGCCGCGGUAAUACGGAGGAUGCAAGCGUUAUCCGGAUUCAUUGGGUUUAAAGGGUGCGCAGGCGGAAAGGUAAGUCAGAGGUGAAAGCCCCCGGCUCAACUGGGGAACUGCCUUUGAUACUGCCUAUCUUGAGUACAGUUGAAGUUGGCGGAAUGUGUCAUGUAGCGGUGAAAUGCUUAGGUAUGACACAGAACACCGAUAGCGAAGGCAGCUGACUAAACUGUAACUGACGCUCAUGCACGAAGGCGUGGGGAUCAAACAGGAUUAGAUACCCUGGUAGUCCACGCUGUAAACGAUGAUCACUAGUUGUUAGCGAUAUACUGUUAGCGACUGAGGGAAACCAUUAAGUGAUCCACCUGGGGAGUACGGCCGCAAGGUUGAAACUCAAAGGAAUUGACGG
rnacentral:rRNA from 1 species